rnacentral:lncRNA from 1 species
CCGGACUUCACUCGUUAAGAGUGGUAAUCCUGUCUGGGAUUGUUUGAUAGGUUGAAUAUCAUUUGGCCAAGAGCCUAAUAAUAUAAGUAGACCAAUUUUGAAAAGAAAAAGACAGAGCGUAUAAGGCCCAAACUCGAUUUGGCUCAUUUUAUCCGGAAUACGAAAAAUAGUAUGAUUUUCAAAUCUAAGUAGCGGAAUUCCAUUGACUUUAUCGUUGACCGUCAUACUUGACUUUAGACUCGGCUACGUGGACUGUGGGUAAAAGUCAGGUGUCCACAUGGGAUGCCACGUAGAAAUAGGUUGCCACGCCACCUUAUGUAAGGUAAAUUUAUUUAUUUUUCACUCCCGCCGCCGGGGUUCUUUCCAUUCCUCACCAGAUUCAGCAACACCCCCCACCACAUUCCCCUUCACCGUUGUCGCAUCCUACACAAUCCCCACCAUCCCGUCCUUGACCACUAGCGAGAACAGCUGCGGAACCGCUCCCAGAUCGAUCAUCGUGGCCGGUUUAGCUAGUACAAAGCGAUCCCGAACAAAUUCAAAUCAAAUCAAUUUCCUCAGUAAUUAACCUGAACUCAAAUCAAAUUCAAACAUGGGUUUGGUAGUCGAAAUUCUUGCUGAUGUCGACUUCAGCAUAGCCAAAUGGGCAUAUUCAUCAGGCUCCGGAUUCUCAAUUCCAGGAGGCGUGGAGUUGUUUGUCGAUGAGUUGUUUCAUACAUUUGGGUGUGUAUUUGGGAUCUUCCCAGAAUUUGUUGAGGCGGCGCCUGCUCCGUCGAUCAGUUUUGCCGCCUCCGUCGAUCAGUUUUGCCGCCUCCGUCACCCAUUUAGCCGUGAAAUCCUAUCGUUGAUUCUCCCUUCCAUGCAACAAAAUCGGAUGGGGUGAUGGCGGUGGCACCUACGUUGAGGACACCGUGACAGCGACCGAAGACCGGCCGACGGAUCUGGAGAGCGGUGAAGGAAGGUGUGUCGUCCGGAGUUGAGGAGAGGGAGAGGUAGCUGAGGAGGAAUAUGACAGUGCCGAUGACGGUGUCGCGUAGGUAGCCGGCAAUGUAGAUAUCGACGAAGACACCAAAGUUUUUGUUAAAGAGGAAGGUCGAGGAGACCUUGAAGAGAAAGCGGUCAUUCCAAGUGGGGUUCUGAAUGACGACGCGAUCGAUAUGGGAGCGAAGCUUGUGGAGGUGUUGAUCCAGACUAAGGCAUAGGUGUGGAGCUGGUGGAGCUUUGAUGAAAGAAGAUUGCAACCUUGGGCGGAUGAAGUUUAGAAUUAAUCUCCACCAUUCAUUAUUUUCGUUAAAUAUCCACUACUUGUGGCCGCCAGCACGAAGCUCCACAUUAGCCAACUCAUUAGUCCAGUCACCUUUUCAACUCACGCCGUCGGAAAUAUUUGAAAAUCGUACUAUUUUUUGUAUUCGGG